CCUACGGGAGGCAGCAGUGAGGAAUAUUGGUCAAUGGACGAGAGUCUGAACCAGCCAAGUAGCGUGAAGGAUGACUGCCCUAUGGGUUGUAAACUUCUUUUAUAUGGGAAUAAAAUGUUCCACGUGUGGGAUUUUGUAUGUACCAUAUGAAUAAGGAUCGGCUAACUCCGUGCCAGCAGCCGCGGUAAUACGGAGGAUCCGAGCGUUAUCCAGAUUUAUUGGGUUUAAAGGGAGCGUAGGUGGAUUGGUAAGUCAGUUGUGAAAGUUUGCGGCUCAACCGUAAAAUUGCAGUUGAAACUGGCAGUCUGGAGUACAGUAGAGGUGGGCGGAAUUCGUGGUGUAGCGGUGAAAUGCUUAGAUAUCACGAAGAACUCCGAUUGCGAAGGCAGCUCACUGGACUGCAACUGACACUGAGGCUCGAAAGUGUGGGUAUCAAACAGGAUUAGAUACCCUUGUAGUC
rnacentral:rRNA from 1 species